rnacentral:snRNA from 1 species
GUGCUUGCUCCUGCAGCCCAUAUGCUAAAUCUGGAACGAUACAGAGAAGAUUAGCAGGGCUCUGCACAAGGAUGACAUGUAGAUUCAUGAAACAGUCCAUAUAUUU